rnacentral:rRNA from 1 species
UACGAAGGUGGCAAGCGUUACUCGGAAUUACUAGGCGUAAAGCGCAGGUAGGUGGUGUGAUAAGUCCGUAAUGAAAUCUCCCGGCUUAACUGGGAGGGGUUUAGGGAUACUGUCAUGCUUGAGUGUGGUAGAGGUAACUGGAAUUCCCGGUGUAGCGGUGAAAUGCGUAGAGAUCGGGAGGAACACCUAUGGCGAAAGCAGGUUACUGGACCAAUACUGACACUGAGCUGCGAAAGCUAGGGGAGCAAACAGG